rnacentral:rRNA from 1 species
UACGUAGGGUGCGAGCGUUAAUCGGAAUUACUGGGCGUAAAGCGUGCGCAGGCGGUUUUGUAAGGCAGAUGUGAAAUCCCCGGGCUCAACCUGGGAAUGGCAUUUGGGACUGCAAAGCUGGAGUGCGGCAGAGGGGACUGGAAUUCCUGGUGUAGCGGUGAAAUGCGCAGAUAUCAGGAGGAACACCAAUGGCGAAGGCAGCUCGCUGGGACGGUACUGACGCUGAGACGCGAAAGCGUGGGGAGCAAACAGG